rnacentral:piRNA from 2 species
UUGGCUUCCAUAUCCUUCCUCAAAACUUCA